UACGUAGGGGGCAAGCGUUAUCCGGAUUUAUUGGGCGUAAAGAGCUCGUAGGCGGUUGAUCGCGUCGGUUGUGAAAGCUUAGGGCUCAACCCUGAGACGGCAGUCGAUACGGGUAGGCUAGAGGUAGGUAGGGGAGAGCGGAAUUCCUGGUGUAGCGGUGAAAUGCGCAGAUAUCAGGAGGAACACCGGUGGCGAAGGCGGGAUCCUGGGCCAGUACUGACGCUGAGGAGCGAAAGCGUGGGGAGCGAACAGG
rnacentral:rRNA from 1 species